UCAGCACAGCUCAGUACAGCCCCAUAAAACUGCUAUUGCUAGUUGGUAUCAUUAGGCUGUAGCCGACGUAAUAAAAUAGGAGCUUUUAUAUACCUACUCAAAAACGUUUCCUGUAAAUGAACUUAAAGGAUGUGUGCAUGUGUGUGUGCAUGUGUACAGUGGACUUCCA